AUACUCUGGUUUCUCUUCACAUCGUGUAUACCUUUUGCCUUUUACUAAAGUUAUCAGUAGUUACUACUAUAUGAGUUAUAAAAAUAUGACAAUGCUGAUCAUUUUUCUCUUAAGCAAGAAG